GCCGCCCAAUAGUUCACUAUCAUUAUUGGAUAGUGAGUGAUCUAUCUUUGUUUGACUUAUAUAAUUUUUUAUUUCUGAAGGGUCCGGUUUAGUACUUUUAUACAAAUUUUGGUAGUAGUUUUUCCCAAGAAUAAGAAUAUCUGAUGCGUCUGUAACGAUUUUACCAUGGUCAUUUCUAAGGGCGGAAAUAGUUUUCUUGGUUUGUCUUGAUUUUUCAAGACCCAAAAAAUAUUUUGUGUUUUUUUCCCCUUCUUCUGCCCAUCUGACUCGGGAUCUGAUUUGUGCACCUCUAGUUUCUUUUAUAUAUAAAUUUUGUAAAUUGUUUUCUACAUUAUUUAUUUCUAUUUUAAAAUGUUGAGAAUUACUUGAUUUUUCAUAAAAGAAUUUUAACUUAUUUUCUAAAUGUUUAAUUUCAUUUUUACUUUCAGCAGCCUUUUGUUUGCAGUAUGCAAUGGUUACCUCCCUUACUUCAGUUUUGAAAAUGUCCCAAGUAACUCGAGGAUCAUUAUUUUUGGUGAGUAUUUUUUCUUUAUGAGUGUCAAUUAGUUUAAUUAUUAUUUCUUUGUAUUUUGUAUCAUUCAGUAUACUGUUAUUUAUCUUAAAGAAUCCUUUGCCUUUAUUUUGAGCUUUAAGUCUUAUUUGUAGAGAGAUUGCUUGAUGAUCUGUAUGUGAUAUUAGUGCAGGUCUUAUGUCUGCUGAUAUUAUGUGAGGUCUUAUAUCUGGGCUUAUUAGAAAAAAAUCAAUUCUGCUUGCAACACUUCUAUUGUUUUUUCUUCUCCAUGUAAAUUGACUGCUGUUUUGAUUUAGUUCUCUCCAAAUAUCAAUAAGUUUAUAUUUUUUUUAUUAGUUGCUUUAAACUGUUAACAGGUUUAUUUUGAUUAUUAGGGCUAAUACUUUUUCUAUCAAAUGAAGUUAAACUUUCAUUCAUAUCACCCCCCAUUAUUAAUAUUCCUAAGCGGUUAUUAUUAAUGAUAUUGUUUACUUUUUUGAAAAAUGAGUUUCUAUUUCGACGAAUGUUUGGAGCAUAUAUAUUCAGUAGUGUAAAGAUAUUACCAUCAAGUUCUAUAUUAAUGAGUAUUAUUCUUCCAUCAUUAUCUCUAGUUUCAUUAAUAAUUUUAUGUUUUAUGUUUUCUUUUAUAAGAAUUGUUACGCCUCUUGAUUGUGAAUUUCCGAAACUAUGGUAAAGUUUCCCUUUUAUCUCAUUGUUUAUACCAUUUUCAUGUUUUUCAAUAAAGUGUGAUUCUUGUAUAAAUAAAAUAUUACACUUUUGGUUUUUGCA
rnacentral:lncRNA from 1 species